rnacentral:lncRNA from 1 species
UAUAUAUAUAUAUAUAUAUAUAAAAACUUAUUCACUUGGCUAUACACCUGCAACUAAUACAACAUUGUAAGUCAAUUGCUGUCCAAUAAAAUUUUUAAAAUAAAUAAAAUUAUGCUAUAAACUAAAAGAAAAAACCAAAACACCAAGUUAGUGAAUGCAAGUAUAAGCAAGUUCCAAAAUUCAUAAUUUGAUCCAAGGAAAAAAAAUACUGCUAAAUAGACCAGUUGGGCCAGAAUUGAGACAGAUAAGAAUAAAACAAACAAACAAACAGGAAAAAGCAGGAGUUCUCAUUGUGGCUCAGCAAGUUAAGAAUCCGACACGGUGUUCAUGAGGAUGCCUGUUUAUUCCCCAGCCUCACUCAGUGGGUUAAGGAUCCAGCCUUGUUGCGAACUGCAGCGUAGGUGGCAGAUGCAGCUCUUAUCCUGCAUUGCUGUGGCUCUGGUGUAGGCCUGCAGCUGCAGCUCCAGUUUGACCUCUAGCCCAGGAACUUCAUCUGCUGCAGGUGCAGCUAUAAAAAGAAAGGAAGAAGGAAAAAAUCAUUUUGUGAAAGAGCACUAGCAAAGAAUGGUAAUGAGGAAUCAUUUCCUGCCCUGUUGCAACCUCCGCUCACUUUGUUUCGAGUGGCAGUGACUAAGACACAUUCAGAAGGAUGGCUGACAGAAAGGGGAAAUCAUGACAAAUCUGACAAAGACAAGGCUGUUAUGGAUGGAGGAAAGAGUCGUAUUCCUUCUUCACGUUAAGCUCCAAAAUAUUUGUCCAGUUGGAAAUUUAGCGCUGGGGUCGGGGGAGAUCCCAAGCAUUGGACUGAGAUUGAUCUGAGAUUGAUGUUUUCCACCAAAAUGAUGAUUUGAGAGGCAUCAAGCUGCACUUUCUUCUUCUUUGUUCAGCUGAGCCGGGAACACCAACCUUUUUCCUUAGUUGAACUCUACUCUCUUCAAUAGAGAACUGAUGAAAAAAUGCACAUAAAAUUAUUUGAAGUCUAAAAAUUAUAAAGACCUUGCCAUAAGAGAAAUAGUUAAUUUUUCUGAAAGUGUUUUAUCACCACUGUUCAUCCAUAACCUAAUUACCCUGUUUCAAGUAGAUGAAUCUCAAGCAAGCGAUUCAAAUAAACGAAUGGCCUGAUGGAUUUUUUUUUUACUGUGUAGCUGAACUCUCUGAUAUCUUUGUAAUUCUCUGCUCCGCUGACAGCCCAGGCCUUGCUUGGUGAGCAAUACCCUGGGAAAUUGGAGCUAUACAUUCAGAGGAAAAAAAAAAAUCAUAGCUGAAGACAGACAUUAAGUGGAAUGGGUAACAGGACUGCUAUAAAGAAAGAAAGAAAGAAGGCUUUGUGAAUGGGCCCCCAUUUUUUGCAGGGGGUUGGGCCUCCGUUUUUUGCAGGCAGGAGAGAAGAUUCCACAAAUACAUCGCAUCUCUAGACCAGGAUGGACAAGGACACAGUCACCAGACAAACCAGAAGAUAACGUGUUUUAGUCCCUGAGUUCCAACCUACUGGUUUUGUUAUUUUUAUUUCCAUGGCAACAUUCUCAAAUUUUCUUGAAUUUUUUUUAUUACGGGUUUCUUUGUUUUCUCUUCAUUGACAUAUGAUUUUCUGUGUUUCUUUCAUCAAAUACCUUGAGUUCAUAAUGCACUGUAAGAGAAGGAGAGACUGUGCUUCCUGGCUUCUCCCCUUAAAUUGCUUGAAAUCUAUUCGAGGAGGAAACCGUCAUGAGUGAUAAAACCCAGAAAAUGAUGGACCAUGACCUGCACGGUUCACACUUUAGAGUUAAGAGAGUCUGGGUAUCAAGGCCUAUUGGCAUUAAAGGGGGACACUGCUUGAAAGAAAUGCCACCUCACUGGAAGAAUGCAGUGGACCUGCUUAAGCCAAACAUGCAGACCUCCACAGCCAUUCCUUCUGGGGGAAGAUGCUGAUGGAGGGGCCCCAUCGAAUCUGCCCCUGCUGUCCCCUCAGUGACUUCUCCAGCCACUCUCCCCUUUGUCAUCAUGUGCUUGCCGUCCACACCACCCUGAAUGCUCUUUUUUCCACUCGCAAGCCAUAAGUGUCCCCUUUUUUUACGAUACUUAUUCAUAAAUACCAUACCAUUAGAAAGGUUUUCCAUGACUGUCUUAUAAAAAUACAGCAUACCUGUCCUCCUCCCCUCCUUAUCAUACUGUUUAUUGUUUUUCUGUCCCCAGCAGGUUAAAAGCACUCUGAGGGCAGAGUUGGUUUUUGUUUGUUUAGUUUUGUUUUUCCUGUUCUACAAACUGCUAUAACCUCAGUACCUUAGAACAAUGCCAGGCACAUAUUAGGCAUUCAACAUAAAUUUGAGGAAGAAAGGAAGGAUGGAAGGGAAGGAGGGAGGGAGAGAAGGAGGAAAUUAGAUCAACGAAGGGACCAAUUUCAGGAAGAACUUGAAAGCUUCAGGUGUUUCCAUUGUAAAGUUGAAGCCACUGGGUGUUAUUUCAUUGUCUGCUAAGUAAUCCAAAGUAGACUUACUAAUAAACUGCAAAGCUGCUUGCCUGUGAAUUCCUUGCCAGGUAAUAUUAACAUCUAACCUUUCUUUUCCUUCAAAUAUUGAUCAGUAGCUCAAAUUUUAACAAAAGCCAUGGUUUCUUUGACACAGCAGGGACUGUGUUCAUAUCCUAUUUGUCAAUGGGAAAAAUAAAUAAAUAAAACAGCUGAAAAGGUGAAAGAUUAUCAUGCAACCCCAAAUUUAAGUGGGAGAAAUCACUCUGCUACUUCUUCCUAGCCAAGGACCUCAAAGAUUCUGCCCCAAGCCAUUUUCAACUGGAAUUUUAAGAUUAUGUACACCAGCCUGCAAAACCAGCCUGACAUAAACAUAUCAUCUGAUGCCCAGGAAUAUUUCCUUCUUCCUUCAACAUGAGUAAUUUAUUGGCUUUCUACCUGCUGUUACCAAACUCACAUUAAUGAUUCAUUUAUUAGUCUCAAAAACAGAUGCUCAUAAUUAAAUCACAGGUUCUAUAAGAUCAUUAGUCCUCUAAUGGCUGAAAGAAUUAUGAAGAAAUUUUGCAGUUUAAAAUCAUCAAUUCAGGAAGGAAUAUGGGAAGCUUUUUCUGUACAGUUAUGAUAUUUCUGUGUUGUUCUCUUUUCUGAUAGAAAUUCCUCAUCUUCUAAAUUGCUGUUAUUAGAGAACUUAUUUUAGUUUCUUUAACACUAGCAGAUUUAUUAUUCAAUUCUAACCACAGCAAUUCUGACUCAGACGGCUAGUGGAGUGUAGCUUUGUUGCUUGUUCAAAUUCCUUAUGGCUUUUUGUUUUAUGCCUGAGUUUAGUCUUAUUAGAAUUUCUCAGAAAUCACGUAAUUUAUGUUGGUGAAGCAGUAUUGCGUUAUUUGUGACAGAACAUGCUUUGUUAAUUAUACCACAUAGGUUUUCACAUACACAAAGUUUUCUUUAAGUUUUGUAGCUGCUUGGGAAAUAUGAUAGAUAUUUUAUUUCCAUUACUCUUUUUAUCUCUGCCCUGUUCUCAGCUGAAAUUACUGCUUAUAUAUUUAUCCGCCUGAACUGUGAAAUUGAGGGAAGCUGAAUAUGUACAAUCUUUUUUUCAUACACAUUACUUUGUCCUACAUAAAGAAUUUAUUUAUAGAGGAAGGUGAUGGAUAGUAUAACCUAAAGUCACAUUUUCUUCUUAUGUCUGCCUCUGAAUCCAAACCCGGGGGUGCCUGCUACAAAAUCCAGUACAUUUCUAUUUUAGAAUCUUCCCUCUCCUGUAAUGGCCAGAGACUGGGUGAACAACAAACCCUCAAAGUUUAAAUGUCCAUAGACGGUCUGGUUCUGCCGCAAUGUAGCUCACAAGCUAAAUCACCUGAAAUGUUUCAGAGACGUUUGUGUUUGGAUUUAUAUUUAAGACAUGAAGAAAAAAAAAAAAAAAAAAAGGUAUCCUCAAACGUAUUAUCCUCACUCCUCAUGUUACUGAUAGUCUAAUUAUUUCUAGUUACAGUUUGCUCAGAAACUCUUCUCAUAAAAUCCACUUUGGGAUAUUAAGUGUUAAAGAACCAGUGAGCAAAGGAAUAUUUAAUGGUAACCAUUUGUGUGUUUAACAUCUGUGUGUUCAACAGAAUGCCAUCUUUCUAGCCAAUUUACAGCACGCGUCUUUCAGUGCCAUUCUCCAAAGGAAAAUAAGCAAUAUGUUAGCAGUAUACCAUAUUUGGAUACUGUUGAAAAGACACAGUAGCACGUUUAACUGAAACUCCAUAGGUUAAAGAGUUGGGCGAUGGUCUGAAAUUGGGUAAUAUUGAAAAAAAAAUGAGAACCUAAUAAGGAAAUGUAGAUAUUCCAUGUGCCUACUUCAUGCUACUCCGACUCCGACUCCUCAUUUACUGUUUGGACACAAGAGCUAUUCUUUGAUCUUGCGCAAAGGCGAUUGUCAAUGGGAUGCUGCCUUGGCCGGGAUAGGAGUUAUCAGAUAUCUUGAAAUGAUGUAUAGUAUUAUAGGAUAGGCGUUAACCCCCGCAAGAAACUGUGGGUGGAUUCAGGCAAAAUUUUCUAUUGGCAGGAUGCACCCCUUCUUACUGGUCUGGGUAGAAAAAAGAAGAUUUCCGGUUUACUGUAGAGCAAAAACCAUUUCCUGCAGGCAGUACAAAUACACCAGCACAGGGUGAGCACCGCUCUGGUACAAAACUGUUGAAAGAAAAGAAAAAGUCAUUGUUCUAAAAAUAUGUAAAGCAGCACUGAUCACAUGUAUUUUUUUUUUUCAAGUUGAGGCCACCCUACAUUAAGACAAAUUCUUGUGUCUAGGUUUUCUCCAAAAGGUCAUUUGUGCUGGAUGCAGAAGACUCGAAAUUUCCCUGAGCAUCUUUGACCAUACAUUUUACCAUGCUUCGGCUUUUGGCAGUUUUGAUAUUCAUUACUGAUUAUUAGUAUCAUUAUUUAAAUACAAAUAUUGUCCCCCCUCCCAUUAUGAGAAGCUAUUAUAAACAUAUAUGGAUUUCUAUAAAGGUUGAUGACUAUAUGCUUUUUUAUAUUAGAAAAUCAUGUGAAAACAAAAUUAAUCUGAAGAAUGCUGUUAAUUAUUUUAACUUUUUUAUUAGGUAUAAAAUGUUCAUAAGAUUAUUCUCUCUAUAACUUACCAAGAUUUAUCAGCUUGUGUAAUUUUUAUAAUCAAGAGGAGUCUGGUUUUCUAAUUAAAGUUUUG